rnacentral:rRNA from 1 species
CCCUGCCAUUUGUACACACCGCCCGUCGCUCCUACCGAUUGAAUGUGCUGGUGAAGAUUUCGGAUUGGCUGUUCAGUUAGGUUUCCUAGCUCUACAGCUGAGAAGUUGUUUAAACCCUCCCAUUUAGAGGAAGG